GGUGACGUGGCACGCAGAGCAGCGCGGGGGCGUGGCCACGUCACGGCCACACCAGGGAGGGCGGCGGGCAUCCGGGGACUCGGCUGGGACACAAUGCCUUGUUCCCUUGGGUGGGGCCUGCCGGGACAGGGAGGGACGCGCGGCCAGGGCACGGCCUCCCGCGUGAGUCACCUCUCGGGGGUGGCCCUGGGGCAGCUGCACCCGCCCCCUGCCUCGCCGCGCAGCUCGAGUCCCCACCCCUUUCUCGGAAAGAAAAUGUCAGCGGAAUUAGUCGCCUGCUGCCCGGCGCCGCAGAACCUGCGGGACUACGGGGACAGUGCAGGGCUGGCGUCCCGGGGCCCCGGCAUCUGGCCCACGGCUGUCCACGGCCCUCACCGGGUGGCAGACACACUAGAGAGGCAGAGAUUUGCUCUCAGCCUGUCCCCAGUGCCUGGAACAGUGCCUAGUUAGGAAGCCACAGGACACUCUUGUGGGAAGACUCCCCUCGUGGAACCUGAUUUUGUCAAUCCUGUAUCACUUUUGAGAGUGUGGAAAGAAACCACCCUUCAAACCGCCCACACAUUUGUGCACACAAGAAUCAGUCCUUAAAAGUGCUCUUUAUCCUCUUGAUUGUUCUGGCACGAGGUUGGACUGCAAGGAGUCAGGAGCACACAUGUUCCAUCUGUGGGUCUGCGUACAAGACAGCUGUGUUCUGGGCCUUUGUUCUCUGUGGGGAGCCCGUGGCUGACUAAAGAACUGCUCCGCAGGGUGAACACGUCAUGGAACACACUGCUUUUAAAAGACAAGUUUCUGAGUCAGGUAUGGGCCUCAUGCACUUGUUGUGCUGAGGCAGGAGGAUUGCUGUGAAUUUGAGGCCAGCCUAGAUGGUGUAGGGAGUUCGAACUCAUGGUCCCCCCACCUUCACAUCCCUAGUGCCGGGAUAGCAAGUGUCACCAUACCCUGUUUGCAGAAAGUGUCACCAUAUCCUGUUUGCAGAACUUUUGAAGCAUUUUUUUUUGUUUUUUGUUUUUUGUUUUGU